UACGAAGGGGGCUAGCGUUGCUCGGAAUCACUGGGCGUAAAGCGCACGUAGGCGGCUUUCUAAGUCAGGGGUGAAAUCCUGGAGCUCAACUCCAGAACUGCCUUUGAUACUGGAGAGCUUGAGUCCGGAAGAGGUGAGUGGAACUCCGAGUGUAGAGGUGAAAUUCGUAGAUAUUCGGAAGAACACCAGUGGCGAAGGCGACUUACUGGACACAUAUUGACGCUGAGGUGCGAAAGCGUGGGGAGCAAACAGG
rnacentral:rRNA from 1 species